UACGGGGGGGGCAAGCGUUGUUCGGAAUUACUGGGCGUAAAGGGCGCGUAGGCGGCCUGCUAAGUCGGAUGUGAAAUCCCUCGGCUCAACCGAGGAACUGCAUCCGAUACUGGCGGGCUUGAAUCCGGGAGAGGGAUGUGGAAUUCCAGGUGUAGCGGUGAAAUGCGUAGAUAUCUGGAGGAAUACCGGUGGCGAAGGCGGCAUCCUGGACCAUUACUGACGCUGAGGCGCGAAAGCUAGGGGAGCAAACGGG
rnacentral:rRNA from 1 species